AGUUGCAGAGGGUUGUUUUGCAGAUACCACGUUACAAAACAAACUCCAGCUUCCUUGGGUGCCUGCAGAAAGAGAAACCAAGAUUUAUUUUCUUCCUCUCAUGAUCAUCAGCAGACACUGUUUUCACAGGGAUCUCGAGUAAAGGGACAAAACACGGUGCAAAUUGUGCAAUUUUCACAGUACUCCUUCUGCCUUUCCCCUCAGCUGCCCGACACCCCUUUUGCGCUAGAGAGAAAGCAACAGCACAGGACAGUUUGUACACAAACAGGGCAGCACAGCGUUAGAGGAGCAAAAGCCCAGCUGAAUUUCAUAACUAGAUGCCGUCCCAGUCAUCAAUUAGUGUGGGAGGUGGGAAGCUGUUUUCCCUCUGCAAGCGCUGUCGCUGUUGGGAGUUUAUUUAUAAGCACUUUGUACUGCAGAAUCAGGGGCUGCUCUCGGAAAGCUUUGACUAUCAGGAUACCGUCCUAACUUAGCUUCGCCCCCCUCCCCGCCUCCUGUCUCCCUCCCAGCACACCACCACCCUCCUCCCCUGGCCACAGCUUUUUGCCUGGAGGGUUUUUUGGCACGGAGACAGUAGGAGCCCUUUCAGGACUUCACAGGAGCAGAAGGGAAUGGUGCAACUCUUUAUAUGCCAACGUGUAAAUUCAGCUCCAAGACUUUUCCAAAUCAGCCGAAACCUCCCGCCAGCGGUGCCGUGCCCAAGCUGGGAGCUGGCUGCUUGUUCGGCUGCAGCGGGAGGAAAUGCUGUCCCCGGGGGCCACGCCACAGCAUCAGACUGUUCCCAGCUCCGCUCCAGAGACGUUGGGAAACACGUCCUGGGAGCCUGCGUAGUCCUGGGAGCCUGCGUAGUCCUGUGCUCACUGCUUUUGGAUCAACGUGCUGCUUCAAUACACAGCAAAGGCACCAGCAGUCUGCACCACGUCCCUUGGAAAGGCCGAUCUCUGUGGUCAGAGAUAGAAAACGUGAGAAGGUGACAAGAUGUGUGCUGGGCAAUAAAAGGGCAUGUUUUUCCCUUAGUCUAAUUAAUGGUGUUACAAGUACAGAUUAGAGGAAGAACUGCACCUACCAACAUCUGCAUAUGAGGUGGGAGAAAAUGUAAAUGCACCCACCUUAGCCAGCAGCAUGUCCUGUUACCCUGUAAGUAUUGUCAGUUGGAGUUGACACCAAGGAAAGAUGCUCCAGGCUCCAGUGCCUUGAUACUUUCUGUGCCAUCGAGGUUUGUUAGUUCCUGUGCAGAAAAGGCUUUGCAGGAAAGUCACUGCAGCAGUGGGGAACCCUUUUCAAAGGCCUUUUUCUUUUUCCUCCAAAUGUUUUACAUGCUUUCACAUUGCUUGAAGCUUGCAAGAGGCUUGUGUCCAGUCUUGUUUAACACCUUCAUUAACAACCUGGAUGAUGGGGUAGAGAGCACCCUCAGUAAGUUGAUGGAUGACAUGAAACUGGGGGAAGUGACUGACUCACCAGAGGGCCACUCAGCCAUGCAGAGGGACCUUGACAGGCUGGAGAGGCUGACCUGACGAAUCUCAUGAAGUUCAACAAGCAGAAGUGCAGAGUCCCACACUUGCAGAAGAACAACUCCAGGCACCAGUAUGUGCUGGGGGUCACCCAGCUGGAAAACUGCUCUGCAGAAGAGAACCAGGGGAUCCAGGUGGGCUCCAAGCUGAACAUGAGUUAGCAAUGUGCCUUUGCUGCUAAGAAGGUUAAUGGUGUUCAUGGAUGGAUUAGGUAACUUAUUUCCUGAAGGUCAAGAGAGGUGAUCCUCCCGCUCUGUUCAGCUCUGGUGAGGGCACACCUGGAGUGCUGUGUCCUGUUCUGGGCUCCCCAGAACAAGAGGGGCAUGGAGCUACUGGAGAGAGUCCAAUGCUGGGCUGCUAAGGUGAUAAAGGGCCUGGGAGUACCUCUCUUCUGAGGAGAGGUUGAGAGACUUGGGACUGUUUAGCCUGGGGAAGAGGAGUCUCAGGAGGGGUCUCCUUACAGUCUAUAAAUACCCAAAAGGAGGGUGCAACAAGGACAGAGCCAUGCACUUUUCAGGGAUGCCCAGUACCAUGACAAGAGGAAACGGGUGCAAUUUGGAACACAGGUGGUUCCAUCUAAACAUCCUGGAGCACUUCUUUACUGUGUGGAUGAGAGAUCAUUGGCAUAGAUUACACAGAGAGAUUGUGUGGAGUCUCUCCUCUUGGAGAUCAUCAGAAGCCACCUGGAUGUGGUCCUGGGACACCUGCUCUAGGUGUCCCUGCUUGGACAAGGUGACCUCUGGAGGUCCCUUCCAGCCUCAAUCAUUCUGUGAUUCUGUGAUAUUGCCAUGUUCAAUUCAGUAAAAGCAUCAAAUCAAAGGAAUUCACAUUCCUCCUGCAAUGCUAUGUAACAUAACUAGAAAUAUUGAAGAAGAAAUUCAUUAAGUAGGCAUUUUUUCCAGAAAUAACAUUGCUUCCCUCAAAUACAUAGAGAAAAUUUUCAGCUUUGGAAAAAGACAAUCCUUCCACCAGGAUUUUGGUUUGCCAUAAUUUUUAGGGAGCCUGAUCAGUUACCCAAAACCAAAUCUAAGGGCAACAUGGUCCUUUCGGUGCCAUGGCCUCUACAGGGCUCACGGACUUUCAUAGAAGUAGAGUUUGUGUUCCCCAUGCCAUAGAGACUGAUCUCUCCAUGAAUACUUACGUAUCAGCUUCUGUUGAGUAGAUAAUUAAAAAAAAAAAAAAAAAGAUAUAGUAAAACAACAAACAAACAAACAAACAAACAAACAAAAAGAUGAAGAACACUGAGAUCUACCCCUCAUCUGAAAACUACAUGCCACCUACAAAAGGAUGGUCCCUAUUCAGACACCAAAUGUGUUGUAGCUGCAGGCUCCACAAACUAAAAAGUGUGGGUAGGGAAAGAAGACCAUUACAAGUAUUGCUCAAGUCAAAAAUGUGAUGUAUCAUAGUAUCAGAAUGGCUUGUGUUGGAAGGGACCUUAAAGGUCCAGUUCCAACCCCAUGCCAUGGGCAGGGAUGCCACCCAGUAGAUCAGGUAGCUUAAGGCCUUGUCCAACCUGGCCUUGAACACCUCCAGGGAUGGGGCAUCCACAACCUGUUCCAGUGCCUCACCACCCUCUGAGUGAAGAACUUCUUCCUAACCUCUAAUAUAAAUCUCCCCUCUUUUAGUUUAAAACCACUCCCCUUUGUCCUGUUAUUGUCUGCCCAAGCAAAAAGUUGCUCUCCAUCUUUUUAUAAGCCCUCUCUAAGUAUUGAAAGGCUGAAAUGAAGUCUCCCUGGAGCCUUCUCUUUUUCAGGCUGACCAGCCAUAGGUCUCUCAUUUUUUCUUUAUAGGAGAAAAACUGCUAGUUCGUAUAGGCUUUGUCUAUCUGUUCCUGUUGUUGUUGUGGUUAUUUCAUAAACAUUAUAUAGCACUUGUACAGCAUGUGAUGAUGCAUAUAACCCGACUACAGUCAUAAACACUGCUUAUUCACGUAAGUGGUCAUAACUUGGCUCCAGACAACUUGGAGGUGUUAAAUAACUGACAAAGAUUAUUUAUUUAUUUAUUUAUCGUUUGUAAUCAAUGAAUCUCAGGUGAAACUAGAUAUUAAAACAGAAAAAUUGGAAAGAUGCAUUAUUUUCAUACAAAAUAUACUCAUCACUUUUUUUCCCCACAUUUGAGCAAGUUUUUUAUCUGGCUUUUACUGCCCUCCAAUUUAUAAGAUAAAAUCGUGAAAACAAGAAGUAGUAUAGUGUCAAGAGGAAGGAAAGUAAACACAGUUAAUAAAUGUACCUUAUCUGAAUGACUGUCAGAUAUGCACAGCUGAAACCUCUUCACUUCAGACUUCUACAAGUGUGGUCACUGCAGAACAAAAUUACAGCUAUUGCUAGGCUAUAUUUAAGCUGGUUCACAGGAGUGUGCUGAUAGCAGGCAGCUAGCGCAUUUGGAUUUCAUUCUCAAUAAAAGAAAUUUUGGGAAAUCCCCUUUUAUAAUAGUGAGCUUUAUCAAAUGGGGUGCGUUCUGUUCUGUAUCUCAGUUUGAGUCAGCCUAAUUUCCAUACAUGUUAGAUAAUGACUAUCUACUAAUAGAAGACAUUGGCUGAUUCUGGUAAUUGAUAUGCGAGAGGAAAGAAGGACCUGCUAGUUUAGACAAAAGCUAGAGAUGAGGAAAUGAAUGAAAGUUGUUUUGUAUUAUCUGGCUGGCUUACCAAAAAAAAAAAAAAAAAAAAAAAAAAA